AACGAACGCUGGCGGCAUGCCUAACACAUGCAAGUCGAACGAACCCUUCGGGGUUAGUGGCGCACGGGUGCGUAACGCGUGGGAAUCUGCCCUUUGCUUCGGAAUAACUCAGGGAAACUUGUGCUAAUACCGGAUGAUGUCUUCGGACCAAAGAUUUAUCGGCAAGGGAUGAGCCCGCGUAGGAUUAGGUAGUUGGUGGGGUAAAGGCCUACCAAGCCGACGAUCCUUAGCUGGUCUGAGAGGAUGAUCAGCCACACUGGGACUGAGACACGGCCCAGACUCCUACGGGAGGCAGCAGUGGGGAAUAUUGGACAAUGGGCGCAAGCCUGAUCCAGCAAUGCCGCGUGAGUGAUGAAGGCCCUCGGGUCGUAAAGCUCUUUUACCAGGGAUGAUAAUGACAGUACCUGGGGAAUAAGCUCCGGCUAACUCCGUG
rnacentral:rRNA from 1 species